ACACAUGCAAGUCGAACGGUAACAGGAAGCAGCUUGCUGCUUUGCUGACGAGUGGCGGACGGGUGAGUAAUGUCUGGGAAACUGCCUGAUGGAGGGGGAUAACUACUGGAAACGGUGGCUAAUACCGCAUAACGUCGCAAGACCAAAGAGGGGGACCUUCGGGCCUCUUGCCAUCAGAUGUGCCCAGAUGGGAUUAGCUUGUUGGUGAGGUAACGGCUCACCAAGGCGACGAUCCCUAGCUGGUCUGAGAGGAUGACCAGCCACACUGGAACUGAGACACGGUCCAGACUCCUACGGGAGGCAGCAGUGGGGAAUAUUGCACAAUGGGCGCAAGCCUGAUGCAGCCAUGCCGCGUGUAUGAAGAAGGCCUUCGGGUUGUAAAGUACUUUCAGCGGGGAGGAAGGUGUUGUGGUUAAUAACCACAGCAAUUGACGUUACCCGCAGAAGAAGCACCGGCUAACUCCGUGCCAGCAGCCGCGGUAAUACGGAGGGUGCAAGCGUUAAUCGGAAUUACUGGGCGUAAAGCGCACGCAGGCGGUCUGUCAAGUCGGAUGUGAAAUCCCCGGGCUCAACCUGGGAACUGCAUUCGAAACUGGCAGGCUUGAGUCUUGUAGAGGGGGGUAGAAUUCCAGGUGUAGCGGUGAAAUGCGUAGAGAUCUGGAGGAAUACCGGUGGCGAAGGCGGCCCCCUGGACAAAGACUGACGCUCAGGUGCGAAAGCGUGGGGAGCAAACAGGAUUAGAUACCCUGGUAGUCCACGCCGUAAACGAUGUCUACUUGGAGGUUGUGCCCUUGAGGCGUGGCUUCCGGAGCUAACGCGUUAAGUAGACCGCCUGGGGAGUACGGCCGCAAGGUUAAAACUCAAAUGAAUUGACGGGGGCCCGCACAAGCGGUGGAGCAUGUGGUUUAAUUCGAUGCAACGCGAAGAACCUUACCUGGUCUUGACAUCCACAGAACUUUCCAGAGAUGGAUUGGUGCCUUCGGGAACUGUGAGACAGGUGCUGCAUGGCUGUCGUCAGCUCGUGUUGUGAAAUGUUGGGUUAAGUCCCGCAACGAGCGCAACCCUUAUCCUUUGUUGCCAGCGGUUAGGCCGGGAACUCAAAGGAGACUGCCAGUGAUAAACUGGAGGAAGGUGGGGAUGACGUCAAGUCAUCAUGGCCCUUACGACCAGGGCUACACACGUGCUACAAUGGCGCAUACAAAGAGAAGCGACCUCGCGAGAGCAAGCGGACCUCAUAAAGUGCGUCGUAGUCCGGAUUGGAGUCUGCAACUCGACUCCAUGAAGUCGGAAUCGCUAGUAAUCGUGGAUCAGAAUGCCACGGUGAAUACGUUCCCGGGCCUUGUACACACCGCCCGUCACACCAUGGGAGUGGGUUGCAAAAGAAGUAGGUAGCUUAACCUUCGGGAGGGCGCU
rnacentral:rRNA from 1 species